AACGAACGCUGGCGGCAUGCCUAACACAUGCAAGUCGAACGAAACCUCCGGGACUAUUCGCGCACGGUUGUAUAACGCGUGGGAACCUUCCCUUAGGUACAGAAUACCUCCCCGAAAGGGGUACUAACACCAGACAAUAUCUUCUAACCAAAGAUUUAUUGCCCUUGAAUGGUCGCGCGUUGGAUUCGCUGGUUGGUAGGGUAAUAGCAUCCCACGGCGACGAUCCAUAGCUGGUAUGAGGGGAUGAUCAGCGACACAGGGACUCAGACACGGCCCGGACUCCUACGGGAGGCAGGAGUGGGUAAUAUUGGACAAUGGGCGGAAGCCUGAUGCAGCAAUGACGGGUGAGUGAUGAAGGCCUUAGAGAUGUAAAGCUCUUUUACCCGGGAUGAUAAUGACAGUACCGGGAGAAUAAGCUCCGGCUAACUACGUG
rnacentral:rRNA from 1 species